CUCACACACACACACUCAGUACCUGUGGAAAUGAGUCUGCAGAAGCCAGCAGGACGUUUUCGGGUUUAAGAUCACAGUGGACGAUGUUCUUGAAGUGGAGGUGACGCAAAGCCACCAGGAUCUGACGACGAUGCCAAACUGUCCUGAGCCGAGAACCUCGUCCGGGAAGAUCUGAUACACGGAGUUGAUAUCCUGAAGAACAGAAAAGCAAGCGAGUGCCCAUCAGUCAUUCACACCCACUGCCAAAGAGGCCAAGACUGAAACCUUACAGUCUGCAAACACUGGACGCUGUGGCUUGACAAAUAUCAUCACACAGUGCUGUGAGAGCUGUGGGAAAUCCCUGUAGAGACGGCCGGCAUCAGAGCGUGCUGGAUGGCCAUCUCCCACAUCCGAGCCACAUCCUGCCCCACUCCGCUGACCUGAAACGUGACAGGAAACAAGUCGUCUGUGAUUAACUUGUGGCCCCUAAAAGGGACAAACCUUUCUUCCUAUUGCACAUGUUCAGUGGGUCCUGACAGCUAGGGACAUCUGGAGGUGGAGGUGUAUCUACACUACAUGAGAGAGAAAGGUGAUUGCAGGAGGAGUUGGACUGGGCUAACGGAAGAAGGUGACGGAUCAUGUGAUUCACCAGAACGCUGCUGCCGGUCACAGACGGUUCAGCUCUCUGCAGGUUCUCUCCAACGUAGUAAACCAGUGAUGCUGUUUCUAUCUCAAAGCAGUGAGGAUUGGCUCCGUCGGGAAGCAGAGAGAAAGUCUGAGCCGGUUCCAGAGACAAGAUCUCUGACAGAGGGAUCUCCUGCAGAGACGUGAGCAAUGGAGGGCAAAGAAAAAACUAUCAGGACCCUCUGAG